CCUACGGGUGGCUGCAGCGGGGAAUAUUGGACAAUGGGGGGAACCCUGAUCCAGCCAUGCCGCGUGUGUGAAGAAGGCCCUCGGGUUGUAAAGCACUUUCAGUGAGGAAGAACGCCUGGUGGUUAAUACCCAUCAGGAAAGACAUCACUCACAGAAGAAGCACCGGCUAACUCCGUGCCAGCAGCCGCGGUAAUACGGAGGGUGCGAGCGUUAAUCGGAAUUACUGGGCGUAAAGCGCGCGUAGGUGGCUUGAUAAGCCGGUUGUGAAAGCCCCGGGCUCAACCUGGGAACGGCCUCCGGAACUGUCAAGCUAAGGAGCAGGAGAGGAAGGUAGAAUUCCCGGUGAGGCGGUAAAUUGCGUAGAGUUCGGGAGGAAUCCCAGUGGCGAAGGCGGCCUUCUGGACUGACACUGACACUGAGGUGCGAAAGCGUGGGUAGCAAACAGGAUUAGAUACCCUGGUAGUC
rnacentral:rRNA from 1 species